rnacentral:rRNA from 1 species
AGGACGAACGCUGGCGGCGUGCCUAAUACAUGCAAGUCGAACGGUCUUUCAUGGAAGCUUGCUUCCACUGAGAAGAUAGUGGCGAACGGGUGAGUAACACGUGGGUAACCUGCCCAUAAGAGGGGGAUAACAUCCGGAAACGGGUGCUAAUACCGCAUAGUUUCUUGAUUGCAUGAUUGAGAAGGAAAGACGGCCUUUGUGCUGUCGCUUAUGGAUGGACCCGCGGCGUAUUAGUUAGUUGGUGAGGUAACGGCUCACCAAGACGAUGAUACGUAGCCGACCUGAGAGGGUGAUCGGCCACAUUGGGACUGAGACACGGCCCAAACUCCUACGGGAGGCAGCAGUAGGGAAUCUUCCGCAAUGGACGAAAGUCUGACGGAGCAACGCCGCGUGAGUGAAGAAAGGUUUUCGGAUCGUAAAACUCUGUUGUCAGAGAAGAACAAGUUGGAGAGUAACUGCUCCAGCCUUGACGGUAUCUGACCAGAAAGCCACGGCUAACUACGUGCCAGCAGCCGC